UUUGAAACUAGAAACUGAAAAUCCAAUGUUGCUUCAAGUGAUACCAAUGCAGUUGACUGAAAGAUGAUUAAGAUAAACAAAAAGCAAUUUUUACUGAAACAAAAAAUUUUGUUUACUUAAUGAUGUGAAUUUGGUUUUCAUAUUUUGGUAAUUAUGUGAUUUGUUUAUUUUCUUUUCAUUAAUUUUGCAUCUCAUUGUGAUGAUUUGUUCGCUUCUAAUCAUGUGAUCGUUGAAAGGCAACAUGAACAGAGCUGUGUUUUCUUUAGCUUGGUGAACUUGUAUGUUCUUAAUAAAAUGGUAUUCUUGUGUUUUUACUGAACUGACCCAUUUCACUGAGGAUUUUCAGUCCCAGCCAAAACCCAUCCUGUUUCAGUGAUGAGUUCUGAUCCCAACCAAUCCGACAGUCUCGUCCAUUCCAGGUAAGUAAACACCGGUCAUUGCUGAGGCUCAUCAAACUGGAAGCUCCUCAUUGAUCAAGUUAUAGUGGUGGCAUUUCGGAACCGAAAUCUGACGCUGCCAGAGGACUAUGAUGAAUUGUAUGAAAUUCAUGACAAGGAAUUAGCAUUUCUUGAUGAACAAAAGAUUUUAUACACGCCUCAGUUCAGGUUCUUGGACAGAGCUGCCAUUCUCGAUCAAGGCUCCAUACCACAACCAUGGAGAGUAUGUACAGUGACCCAAGUUGAAGAGAUGAAGAUCCUAACAAGGAUGAUGCCCAUCAUAGCCAGCACUAUCAUCAUGAACACAUGCCUGUCCCGGCUAACUACAAACAUUCUCUGUCCAAUAAGGCAACAUCAUGGACCUCCAUCUAGGCUCCAUCAAAGUUGAGGCGCCAU